rnacentral:rRNA from 1 species
UACGUAGGGUGCGAGCGUUGUCCGGAAUUAUUGGGCGUAAAGGGCUCGUAGGCGGUCUGUUACGUCGGGAGUGAAAACUCAGGGCUCAACCCUGAGCCUGCUUCCGAUACGGGCAGACUAGAGGUAUGCAGGGGAGAAUGGAAUUCCUGGUGUAGCGGUGGAAUGCGCAGAUAUCAGGAGGAACACCGAUGGCGAAGGCGGGUCUCUGGGCAACAACUGACGCUGAGGAGCGAAAGCGUGGGGAGCGAACAGG